AANNGUCGGAAGANNGACCAGCCAUGCCGCGUGCAGGAAGACGGUCCUAUGGAUUGUAAACUGCUUUUGUGCGGGAAGAAACACUCCCUCGUGAGGGGGCUUGACGGUACCGUAAGAAUAAGGAUCGGCUAACUCCGUGCCAGCAGCCGCGGUAAUACGGAGGAUCCAAGCGUUAUCCGGAAUCAUUGGGUUUAAAGGGUCCGUAGGCGGUUUAUUAAGUCAGUGGUGAAAGCCGGCAGCUCAACUGUCGAACUGCCAUUGAUACUGAUAGGCUUGAAUUAGUGUGAAGUAACUAGAAUAUGUAGUGUAGCGGUGAAAUGCUUAGAUAUUACAUGGAAUACCAAUUGCGAAGGCAGGUUACUAACACUAUAUUGACGCUGAUGGACGAAAGCGUGGGUAGCGAACAGGAUUAGAUACCCUGGUAGUCCACGCCGUAAACGAUGGAUACUAGCUGUUUGGAGUAAUCUGAGUGGCUAAGCGAAAGUGAUAAGUAUCCCACCUGGGGAGUACGCACGCAAGUGUGAAACUCAAAGGAAUUGACGGGGGCCCGCACAAGCGGUGGAGCAUGUGGUUUAAUUCGAUGAUACGCGAGGAACCUUACCAAGGCUUAAAUGGGAAUCGACAGGUGUAGAAAUAUGCCCUUCUUCGGACGAUUUUCAAGGUGCUGCAUGGUUGUCGUCAGCUCGUGCCGUGAGGUGUCAGGUUAAGUCCUAUAACGAGCGCAACCCCUGUUGUUAGUUGCCAGCGAGUCAUGUCGGGAACUCUAGCAAGACUGCCGGUGCAAACCGUGAGGAAGGUGGGGAUGACGUCAAAUCAUCACGGCCCUUACGCCUUGGGCUACACACGUGCUACAAUGGCCGGUACAGANAGCAGCCACUGCGCGAGCAGGAGCGAAUCUAUAAACCNGUCUCAGUUCGGAUCGGANUCUGCANCCCGACUCCGUGA
rnacentral:rRNA from 1 species